UGGGGAAUCUUCCGCAAUGGACGAAAGUCUGACGGAGCAACGCCGCGUGAGUGAAGAAGGUUUUCGGAUCGUAAAACUCUGUCUUUUGGGGCGAACGUGAGUAUGGUGAACAAUCAUAGUCAGUGACGGUACCAAAGGAGGAAGCCACGGCUAACUACGUGCCAGCAGCCGCGGUGAUACGUAGGUGGCAAGCGUUGUCCGGAAUUAUUGGGCGUAAAGAGCGCGUAGGCGGGAUAGUCAGUCUGUUGUAAAAGUGCGGGGCUCAACCCCGUGAUCGCAAUGGAAACAGCUAUUCUUGAGUGCAGGAGAGGAAAGUGGAAUUCCCAGUGUAGCGGUGAAAUGCGUAGAUAUUGGGAGGAACACCAGUGGCGAAGGCGACUUUCUGGACUGUGUCUGACGCUGAGGCGCGAAAGCCAGGGGAGCGAACGGGAUUAGAUACCCCGGUAGUCCUGGCCGUAAACGAUGGGUACUAGGUGUGGGAGGUAUCGACCCCUUCCGUGCCGGAGUUAACGCAAUAAGUACCCCGCCUGGGGAGUACGGUCGCAAGACUGAAACUCAAAGGAAUUGACGGGGUCAUAGCUG
rnacentral:rRNA from 1 species